UAAAAAUAUCUGGGGUGCCUUGAGCUGAGAUCAUACCCAUUGAACCUGAUUGAGUUAGCACUCACGAAGGAAGAUAGUUAUAGAACAAA
rnacentral:ncRNA from 1 species